CGCCAAGAAAACCCGGAAGAAAACUGGCCAAGUCUCGCGUAACUGCGGGUCACCAAAACACACAGGGAGACGAUGCAGUGGCUAAUCCUAAAAAUCGGGUGUUGUCUUGCCAUUCUGAGGGGGAAGGCUUCAGGAGUGUAGAAUCUGUUGGGCAUCAUGUGAGCAGUUUGACUUGGCUGCUGUUUACGUACGACGACCUCCCCACCAUGGAGCCGACGUCGCAUCCGACUGUCGCUGAUUGACAAGUCGGUUGACUCGCGGCGCUGGGAUGUCGGCGCCUCAUCUUGGUCCAAUCGAUUGCAUUGAAGAGGAGCUACUGCACAUGUCAAACCUUUAAUGAGAGUCAAUGGGUAAAGAUUUGGGCGCCCCAGACUGGAAAUGCGUCACGGUCACUCAGCUGAGUGGCGAGCCCCCUCUAUCGACCGGCUGCUAUUGCGUCAGGGGUGGGGAAACUUUUUGCUUAUUUUACGUGCGAUAAAGUCAUGGGUCGAGGACAUUGUAUGAGUUUGGCCAACAAUGUAAUUGCACAGCAUUAUUCUCAUAACAUUGCAACAUUAAGGCGGUAAAAAGAAGGAAUUGGACAGAUCCUGAGACAAAACAAGGGUGAAUAUACAAGCUGUCUUUCAGAAGCGGAAGCGCCACAGACGCCCCCCACCACCCGCAUCCCCACAUAUUUUUUUGGGGGGGUGAAGCUAUCCCUGUUAUUAAGGGAAACCCCCGGUUAUUUGUAUUGUUUUACCCAAUCCCUUUCCUAAUCGCUUUUUUUAUUUCAUUUUUAUUUUUUAACCCGAUCCUCUACUUCAUGUUUUUUUGUUGUUGUUUAAAUUGUAUUUAUUUAUUUUUACCCAACCCCCAUGGCUAAGUAUUUAUUUCGCUAUCCACAAACUGGCUCGGUCACUACCCCCCGCAAAUACCAGGGACCCACUAUACUUUAUCAUCAAAACUCUGAAAUGUCUCAUAACAUUACAGCUUUUUCCUGAAAUAUUUCAAUUUGAUUCUCCUUUCUCUCAUUGCAUCUUUUUCUCGCCGUAUUAUGACUGUUCUCACAACUUUGAUUUUUGCCGUAAUUACUGUCCUGUUCACUUCACAACUAUUCUCAUAACAUUAAGAUUUUUUUCCUCAUAUUACUUUUUCCUCUUACAACUUGACUCUCAUAACUUUGACUUUUCUUGUAGUAUGACUUUAUUCUCUUUACUUUCCUACUUUUUAUUCUCAUACAACUUUUUUCACACAUUACAUUUUUAUUCUCGUGACUGAUCUUGCAAUUAUCUGCUUUGUUCAAAAAUUCUUUGUUCCUGUACCUUUUACAACUUUAUUCUCGUAAUGUCACAACUUUUUUUCACAUAUUUAAUCAUCUCCAACUCUUUGUGCUUUCAGUGUGGCCCUAAGGGGAGACAUAAAUCAAUUUUUCAUACCUCUCCAGUCAAGUGAUUUGACAAACGUCUCGUCUUUGUAUCAUUAGCGGCUAA